rnacentral:rRNA from 1 species
UACGUAGGGUGCAAGCGUUGUCCGGAAUUAUUGGGCGUAAAGAGCGUGUAGGCGGCCAGGUAGGUCUGCUGUGAAAACUCGAGGCUCAACCUCGAGACGUCGGCGGAAACCAUCAGGCUAGAGUCCGGAAGAGGAGAGUGGAAUUCCUGGUGUAGCGGUGAAAUGCGCAGAUAUCGGGAGGAACACCGGUGGCGAAGGCGGUUCUCUGGGCCUGACCUGACGCUGAGGAGCGAAAGCGUGGGGAGCGAACAGG